rnacentral:rRNA from 1 species
AACGAACGCUGGCGGCAUGCCUAACACAUGCAAGUCGAACGAGACCUUCGGGUCUAGUGGCGCACGGGUGCGUAACGCGUGGGAACCUGCCCUUAGGUUCGGAAUAACUCCCCGAAAGGGGUGCUAAUACCGGAUAAUGUCUUCGGACCAAAGAUUUAUCGCCUUUGGAUGGGCCCGCGUUGGAUUAGCUAGUUGGUAGGGUAAAAGCCUACCAAGGCGACGAUCCAUAGCUGGUCUGAGAGGAUGAUCAGCCACACUGGGACUGAGACACGGCCCAGACCCCUCCGGAGGGGAGAAGGGGGGAAAAAGGGAAAGGGGGCGAAUGCUUAAGCCAGUAGGGCCGGGAAAGUGUGGAAGGCUUUAGGUUUAUAAAGCUCUUUUACCGGGGAUAUUAAGACGGGACCUGGGAAAAAAAGCCCGGGUAACUUCGUG